AUGAACGCUAGCGGCAGGGCCUAAUACAUGCAAGUCGAACGGUAAAUAUAUUAGCAAUAGUAUAUGAGAGUGACGUACGGGUUGCGUAACACGUAUGCAAACCUACCUUGUACAGGAGUAUAGCUCGGGGAAACUCGAAUUAACCCUCCAUAAUAUGUUGGGUGUGGCAUCACACGGACAUUAAAACUUUGGGUGGUACAAGAUGGGCAUGCGUCUGAUUAGUUAGUUGGCGGGGUAACGGCCCACCAAGACGAUGAUCAGUAAGGGGAACUGAGAGGUUGAUCCCCCACACCCCCUGGCACUGAGAAUACGGGCCAGACUCCUACGGGAGGCAGCAGUAGGGAAUAUUGGUCAAUGGAUGGAAGUCUGAAACCAGCCAUGCCCGCGUGCAGGAAGAAGGCCCUUCUGGGUUGUAAAACUGCUUUUUGCCAGGGGAUAAAAAGUCCCUGCGGGGAAAAAUUGAAGGUACCUGGUGAAUAAGCCACGGCUAACUACGUGGCCAGCAAGCCGCGGUAAUACGUAGGUGGCGAGCGUUUGUCCGGAUUUAAUUGGGUUUAAAGGGUGCGUAGGCGGCUUUGUAAGUCAGUGGUGAGAAUACUCUAGCUUAACUAGAGGGGUGCCAUUGAUACUGCGGAGCUUGAGUAACAGAUGAGGUAGGCGGAAUUGACGGUGUAGCGGUGAAAUGCAUAGAUAUCGUCAAGAACACACCGAUAGCGAAGGCAGCUUACUGGGCUGUAACUGACCGCUGAGGCACGAAAGUGUGGGGAUCAAACAGGAUUAGAUACCCUGGUAGUCCACACUGUAAACGUUGAUUACUCGCUGUUUUGCGAUAUACAGCAAGCGGCUUAGCGAAAGCGAUAAGUAAUCCACCUGGGGAGUACGCCGGCAACGGUUGAAACUCAAAGGAAUUGACGGGGGGUCCGCACAAGCGGUGGAGCAUGUGGUUUAAUUCGAUGAUACGCGAGGAACCUUACCUGGACUAGAAUUGCCCUUGACCGAUCCAGAGAUGGGUCUUUUCAGCAAUGACAAGGAGCAAGGUGCUGCAUGGCUGUUCGUCAGCCUCGUGCCCGUGAGGUGUUGGGUUAAGUCCCGCAACGAGCCGCAACCCCUAUUUUUAGUUGCCAGCUACGUAAUGGUGGGGACUCUAAAAGACCUGCCUGCGCAAGCAGGGAGGAAGGAGGGGACGACGUCAAGUCCAUCAUGGGCCCUUACGUCCCAGGGCUACACACGUGGCUACAAAUGGCGUAUACAAAGUGUUGCGACCUGGUGACAGGGAGCCAAUCACAAAAAGUUACGUCUCAGUUCGGAUUGCAGGCUGCAAACUCGCCUGCAUGAAGUUGGAAUCGCUAGUAAUCGCAAAUCAGCAAUGUUGCGGUGAAUACGUUCCCGGACCUUGUACACACCACCGCCCGUCAAGCCAUGGGAGUUGGGAGGACCUGAAGCCAGUUGCUGUAAGGCGCUGUUUAGGGUUAAAACCGAUGACUAGGGCU
rnacentral:rRNA from 1 species